GGAGAGAUGGCCGAAUGGCGUAGCAUUGGAAUUGCUAUGCAGGCUUUUGUUUACCUAGGGUUCGAAUCCCUCUCUUUCCG
rnacentral:tRNA from 1 species